CACAGAGGGGAACUCGGCCCCUAAAGGGCCACUCCCGUAGCCUCACCGUGUCGGAUACUCACGUACCAGGUUCUUCGACCGCUUCUUACCCAUGUGUCUGAGCUUACCCUCCAGUCAGCAGUAUGUUUGUCCUUAUUCAAACAGUGUACAAUCCCACUCUACUCUUUUUUUUUUUUCCUGGAAUGUUCUCUGGUAUCUUUUCACCCAUUCUUCACGUCCUUUGAAAUUCACAAAGACCCCAUGAAUCCUUCUGACCCAAAGCCCUCCACCUCCAUUCUGAAAACUCGUGGUACAAUGUCAAUUAUUUCUAGUCCAGGACUGACUCUGUCUGCCCCUCUGGACCAUAAACUCCCUGAGGAAAGGCCCUGUGCUCUGGGUUCACCCUCACUAAUCAUAGCAUCAUACUUGACUGGGGGCCAUGUGGGAGUCAGUCUGUCACCUGAACAUCCUGUCCAAGCUUCUUCCUCCACUAACUACCACCAGGGCCGUUUCCCCCACGGUGGCACGACUGCUUCUUCCUAGUGGCCUCAGGUUUCCAUCGCUGAAAUGUGUGCAGUGAUGUGUUUGGUGUAUGACAGGUCACCACAGCUGUGAACCCUGCUGGUGGGACCUUUUUGUUUACCUGUUUGUCCUGGGCCCAGCGUGGGGCCUGGUCCACAGUAAGUUCUUAAGAAAUACCUGAAGUGUCUGGUGAUAGAGGCUUUCUUAUGGGUCACUGUAGCUGUCUUCCGCUCUUAGAUCUCAGGGAGGGGGAGUGACACUCACAGAGAAAAUGAAGGCUGGCAGAAGAUGUUACAGGCUCAGGGAAGCGCUGGGCCUCAUCGUGUGGUAUGGAGCUCCUGGAGGGGACAGCCCCAUCUAGAGCAGCCAAGAGUUGUGUUAGAAUUGAGGAAUGGGUGUGAGGAGGCAAGAAAACAGCCCCAGGUCAUCCAUGGAAAAUACUGUCUUUUAAUCCUUGUUCUGAGGGGUACAGCAAAACUGGACCCCAACCCUCCUUCCAGCGAUGGACCCCUUCUGCCAACGAGAAUCACAAGCACCACUCCUGAGGACAGAUCCGCAUCACCACACCAUCGCUCAUCAGCCUUGGCUCUGUACACACCGAGGGGUGGCCAUGGCGCUCAGAGAUCUCUGCAGAGCCUCUCCCUGGAAGGAGACAGCGCUGCACCAGCUGAGGAAGACGAGAUCUGGGAAACCACUAGAGAAAUAUAAAUUACAGCCCCAUUGUGGCACUACCCGCCCGGCUGAGUGCCUGGAAUCAAGAUGACCAGCGGUACCGAAUAGUGAGAAAGACAGGGAAUGGCAGAGACUCCGUGGUUGGUAGUGAACAUUAUCAGAAAACCAACUGUCAUUUGCUGCAUCGACACACGCCCCACCCAGGCCAGCAGCGCGUGCCUCCUCCACCAGGUGCUUCAUCCACGUUGUUUACAGCAGCCAAUACAGGAAACUACUUUCUGGUCCAUUAGCCAUAAAUGAACAGACCGUCGUGCUCAUUGAUAACCUAAACAGGAGCUUCAAUCACUGAAAUUAUCAGUAACCACAGGUGCCCGUCUCACAGAAAUGCUGGCCAUGGAGAAUGGCGAUCACGUAUGAAGUCUUUAAAAAUAGACGGCGCCCACCUCUGGUGACACUGUUGACAACAGUCGCCUCUGAGGCUUGCCGAGGGGACUCCGAGACGCUGGGUGUGCUCCAUGUCUUGACCUGGACAGCUGUGAGCAAGUGUGCGUGCUCUGUGUGGAUGUGGUUGUUUUUCUCCGAGGUCUUAUUCUGCUGUUUAAAAUCAAAGAAGCUUAAGGAGCAGGCACGUUUUAUCAUGUAGAACGGAUGGGGCAAAUAUCUCACCGGACAAACACCUUGCUUUUGGGGGGAAGGCACUUUGAGUAUCAUUGUGUUUCCCUGUGCUGACAGUGAUUUCUCUGGGGACUUUGGGAGAUCACCAGGUUACAAGAGGACAAAAGCGUUCAUUAUGCACCUUUGGUAUUAAAUUCUUUUCUUUCUA